rnacentral:rRNA from 1 species
CCCUUAGAUGUUCUGGGCCGCACGCGCGCUACACUGAUGCAUUCAACGAGUUUCUUCCUGGUCCGAGAGGAAUGGGUAACCUUUUGAAAGUGCAUCGUGAUAGGGAUAGACUAUUGCAAUUAUUGGUCUUCAACGAGGAAUUCCUAGUAGACGUAGUUCAUCAGACUGCAUCGAUUACGUCCCUGCCCUUUGUACACACCGCCCGUCGCUCCUACCGAUUGAAUGCUCAGGUGAGCCAUUCGGACUUUCAUCAUGCUGGUUUCAAGUUUUGAUGAAGGAAAGUCUUGCGAACCUUAUCAUUUAGAGGAAGGAGAAGUCGUAACA